rnacentral:rRNA from 1 species
GACGAACGCUGGCGGCGUGCUUAACACAUGCAAGUCGAGCGGUAAGGCCCUUUCGGGGGUACACGAGCGGCGAACGGGUGAGUAACACGUGGGUGACCUGCCCUCAGCUCUGGGAUAAGCCUGGGAAACCGGGUCUAAUACCGGAUAUGACUCCAUGACGCAUGUUGUGGGGUGGAAAGCCUUGUGCGGCUGAGGAUGGGCCCGCGGCCUAUCAGCUUGUUGGUGGGGUGAUGGCCUACCAAGGCGACGACGGGUAGCCGGCCUAAGAGGGCGACCGGCCACACUGGGACUGAGACACGGCCCAGACUCCUACGGGAGGCAGCAGUGGGGAAUCUUGCGCAAUGGGCGAAAGCCUGACGCAGCGACGCCGCGUGAGGGAUGACGGCCUCGGUU